GGGAACUUCAAGAGCUUCGACAUCAAACGAAUCAAUACGAGGACCAGUACGGAUCAGUUUCUGUUCCACAUUAUCCUCAUCAUCAGACUCCAAUUCCAUGCCAUUGCAUGUUGUCGAAUCAUCAUCUCCAUCCACAGUAUCUCGAUCACCACUAUCGAUAUCCAAAUCAUCCUCGUCCUGAAAUACCCACCGUGACUCAAUCGAUUCCAUAGACGUUAAUCCGCCAUUUUCCCUCUCUAAACCCUCGUCCGUCAUCUCAAAACCACUGUCA
rnacentral:misc_RNA from 1 species